rnacentral:rRNA from 1 species
UACAGAGGGGGCAAGCGUUGUUCGGAAUUACUGGGCGUAAAGGGCGCGUAGGCGGCCUUCUAAGUCGAACGUGAAAUCCCUGGGCUCAACCCAGGAACUGCGUCCGUUACUGGAAGGCUUGAAUCCGGGAGAGGGAUGCGGAAUUCCAGGUGUAGCGGUGAAAUGCGUAGAUAUCUGGAGGAACACCGGUGGCGAAGGCGGCAUCCUGGACCGGUAUUGACGCUGAGGCGCGAAAGCCAGGGGAGCAAACGGG